AACUUUUGGCAACGGAUCUCUUGGCUCUCGCAUCGAUGAAGAACGCAGCGAAAUGCGAUAAGUAAUGCGAAUUGCAGAAUUCCAGUGAGUCAUCGAAUCUUUGAACGCACAUUGCGCCCUUUGGUAUUCCGAAGGGCAUGCCUGUUCGAGCGUCAUUAUCACCCCUCAAGCCCCGCGCUUUGUGUUGGACGGCCGGUCGAGCGAUCGACCCCUCCUAAAGACAAUGACGGCGGCCUGCGGUUCCCCCGGUACACUGAGCUUUUAACUGAGCACGUACCGGACCAGGGCACCCGGGACCCAGUCCCCUCCUUUAACUAGGAAACUUCUAAGGUUGACCUCGGAUCAGGCAGGAAUACGCGCUGAACUUAAGCAUAUCAAUAAGCGGAGGCU
rnacentral:misc_RNA from 1 species